GCCGGGCAUGGUGGCACAUGCCUGUAAUCCUAGCCACUUAAGGGGCUGAGGCAGGAGGAUUGCAAGUUUAAAGCCAGCCUCAGCAAAAUCAAGGUGUUAAGCAAUUCAGUGAUACCCUGUCUCUA
rnacentral:sRNA from 1 species